rnacentral:lncRNA from 1 species
CCAUGAGAGAUCAUUCUGCAUUGUUGUAUUUGGGGUUCAUGUAGAACACCUAUGGCUAUUGCUUAUAAUCUUAUGAGAAUAAAUAUAUAGUUUUUCUAUCUUAUGGGAAAUGUAGUUCCAUGAGAAACUAGAAUAGCAGAAAAAAUAAUUGGAUUUGAGACUUAAACUUGGAAUCUGAUUGUGUGAAAUCCACAUCUGAUAGGAAAAAUUUUCGGUAGUGCUCCUCUUAAAUAUGUAUGUGUUUUAAAGCCAUAUGAGUCC